rnacentral:rRNA from 1 species
GACGAGCGCUGGCGGCGUGCUUAACACAUGCCAGUCGAACGAUGAAGAAGAGAAACGCGAACUUCGGUUCAAAUUUCACUUCGGAUUAGUGGCAGACGGGUGAGUAACGCGUGAGCAACCUACCUCUUACAAAGGGAUAGCCUCGGGAAACCGUGAUUAAUACCAUAUGACACAUUCAUAAGGCAUCUUAAGAAUGUUAAAGCUACGGCGGUAAGAGAUGGGCUCGCGUCCCAUUAGCUAGUUGGUGAGGUAACGGCCCACCAAGGCGACGAUGGGUAACCGGGCUGAGAGGGUGAACGGUCACAUUGGAACUGAGACACGGUCCAAACUCCUACGGGAGGCAGCAGUGGGGAAUAUUGCACAAUGGAGGGAAAUCUGAUGCAGCGACGCCGCGUGAGCGAUGAAGGAAUUCGUGUCGUAAAGCUCUGUUCUAUGGGAAGAAAAGGACUGUACCAUAGGAGAAAGCCCCGGCUAAAUACGUG